rnacentral:lncRNA from 1 species
CACUGUCAUAAAAAGGGAAGGCCUAAGGAAGUGAUGAAUCAAGAAGAGAGUUUCUCCCUUUCCUGGAAGACUGCUUUGGAUUCUGUGGGAGCCUUCCUCUGCUUGCAGAUCACCGCCACUAAGUGCUGCCAGUAAACCACAGAAAGGCAGCAGAGUCAUGUAAAUGCUGUCAUUUUUAUGAGAUCAUACUGUCUACCCUUUAAUGGACAAGCUAAAUAGGAAUUGUUUCAAAUCACCGGAACUGCUUUUGUAUUGCUCCGUGGGAGGCGUACAUCCAAGGCAAAAUCAUGAUGAAAGAAAGAACUAUGCACAAAAGGAGCUGAUUGAAGCAUGGAAAAAAUUAGAAGCCCAGGACAGCUGGAUACUUUGCUGGUGACCAAGUGGAUUAUCACCACCAACUGAGUUGCUAUGGAGACAAGAUGGGACUGGAGUAGAAUAUCAGAUGGGAGUCCUGCUAAAAACCAGCAUUGUGUCCAUGAGGAAGAAAGGGUCCCCAGAGGAGUGCUAAAACCUCAGGAUGAUAAAGGAGGGAGUAUCCCGGUAAGUGAGAGGAGCAGUAUCAGUAGGAUCUCCAGUGCUAAACUCAGGAUGAGUUUUCCACUGAAUCCUGUAGCUGGAGUCCCCUGAGCACACAAGCUGGCCAGGAGUGGUGUGCCUCAACAGCUCUUCCAAGAUGUCACUCCUGCUGUCCAGCUGCCCAAGAAUAACUGAGCAUGGGCUGCCCAACACAGGAUGUGACUCUGCCUUGUGUGUCUGCUGGAAAGAAAAGAAAGCCCCUCCUGUCAAUAGCUUUGGAUUCAGAAGGACAUUUUAGUUUUGUCUUAAUUUCCUAAACUGGAAUAUUUCAGGAAGGCGGGUGAGUUACAGAUUAGUACAUCCUUAGUAGGUUUGCAGAUGACACCAAACUGACUGGUCCAGUUGAUUCAAAAGAAGAAAGAGAUGUCAUCCAAAGGGACUUGGACAGGCUUGAAAAGUGGUCCCAUGGGAACCUAGAAUCAUAGAAUCACUGAGGUUAGAAAAGACCUAAAAGAUCAUCCAGUCCAACCAUUUACCUAUUACCAAUAGCUCCCACUAAAAAAUUUCCCUCAACACAAAAUCCAGUCAUCCCUUGAACAAACCUAAUGUGAUUCAACAAGGCCAUUUGCAAGAUGUUGUUAAAAAAAAAAAAAAAAAAGAACUCAUUCAUGGCAUCCCUGCUGUGAAGGACUUUGAGACACUGGUGGACAAAAAUCUGGACAAGAGCCAGCAGUGUGCACUUGGCAGCCAGUAAAGCCUACGGUUGCAUGGAGCCAGCUAGAUGGAGAGUGGAUUUUCAGAGAUCUCAUUUGAUUUUUUCUGUGAUUGUGCACAUACGCUAAAACACCAGUCAGUCUGAGGAACAGUGACGUUUCAGGAGAGAAGAUAGGAGCAAGACGUAUGAAAUGCGUAUAUUUAACCCAUUAUCUUUCCUCUAUAGCCAGUGAUGUUACAAUCAAGCCCAU